UCUCCUGAAAACAUGAAACAGUAGCUGCUAUUAAUAUGGGAUAAUGCAAUAGAUGUCUCUUACAUGUAGAGAACUGAAAAAUGAUGAAACUUUCUCCAGUUUGUUUAUAGAAAAUCUCUCUAGAAUAAAUAACUAGUUACAAGAAUGAAACCAACAGCAGCUACUGGUGCUGGUUUUAAAAUUCAUUCCUGGGAAAUCUGACACUCAAGCUCAAACCACCAUUAACACGCAGCAAGAACUGAUGUAUUAAGCAUAUUUCCUAUCUCUGAAGAAGAAAAAGAUGAGCAAAGCAAACUUAAUUGAGAAAGGUAAAGAACCACUGAAGUUACAAGGUGUAACAAGCACCAAGCAGAUUCCAGCUGCAAUGGGACUAAAGGCUGUCACAAAUGUUUUCACACAACAACCAAAAAGAGUUGUCAUAUACACGGAGGCAAUGUGGUCUCAAGAGAAGAUGACACAACCAUAAGAGAAGUAAUUUAUAGUAACUACACUAGAAGAAUUUACUCACAAUGAAAAUUAAAGAACUAGUUUUGUUUAAACAUCAAACAGAAAAGAAAAAAAUUAUGUAAGAAUAUAACUACUAUUUCUAAAACAGACUUUGCAAUCAUGCUCAGUUGAAGUA